CCGCCCUUGUGAUGUCCAGCAUAGGGCUCUGAUCACGCCAAGGACAUGGUGCCUUGCCCCAAGACCCUUGAUUCCAGGACAUGUGGGGGGCUG
ensembl:snoRNA